rnacentral:rRNA from 1 species
GAUGAACGCUGGCGGCGUGCUUAACACAUGCAAGUCGAACGGUGAACGAGGGAGCUUGCUCCCUCCGGAUCAGUGGCGAACGGGUGAGUAACACGUGAGCAAUCUGCCCUGGACUCUGGGAUAAGCGUUGGAAACGACGUCUAAUACCGGAUACGAGGCGUGGGGGCAUCCCCAACGCCUGGAAAGAACUUCGGUCCAGGAUGAGCUCGCGGCCUAUCAGGUAGUUGGUGAGGUAACGGCUCACCAAGCCGACGACGGGUAGCCGGCCUGAGAGGGUGACCGGCCACACUGGGGCUGAGACACGGGCCAGACUCCUACGGGAGGCAGCAGUGGGGAAUAUUGCACAAUGGGCGCAAGCCUGAUGCAGCAACGCCGCGUGAGGGACGACGGCCUUCGGGUUGUAAACCUCUUUUAGCAGGGAAGAAGCGAAAGUGACGGUACCUGCAGAAAAAGCACCGGCUAACUACGUGCCAGCCGCCGCGGUAAUAC